ACGGAAGGCAGCAGUGGGGAGUAUUGCACAAUGGGGGAAACCCUGAUGCAGCGACGCCGCGUGAAGGAUGAAGUAUUUCGGUAUGUAAACUUCUAUCAGCAGGGAAGAAAAUGACGGUACCUGACUAAGAAGCCCCGGCUAACUACGUGCCAGCAGCCGCGGUAAUACGUAGGGGGCAAGCGUUAUCCGGAUUUACUGGGUGUAAAGGGAGCGUAGACGGUGAAGCAAGUCUGAUGUGAAAGGCCGGGGCUCAACCCCGGGACUGCAUUGGAAACUGUUUUACUAGAGUGCCGGAGAGGUAAGCGGAAUUCCUAGUGUAGCGGUGAAAUGCGUAGAUAUUAGGAGGAACACCAGUGGCGAAGGCGGCUUACUGGACGGUAACUGACGUUGAGGCUCGAAAGCGUGGGGAGCAAACAGGAUUAGAUACCCUGGUA
rnacentral:rRNA from 1 species